GACGAACGCUGGCGGCGUGCUUAACACAUGCAAGUCGAACGGAAAGGCCUCUUUCGGGGGGUACUCGAGUGGCGAACGGGUGAGUAACACGUGAGUAACCUGCCCUUGACUUUGGGAUAACUUCAGGAAACUGGGGCUAAUACCGGAUAGGAGCUCCUGCUGCAUGGUGGGGGUUGGAAAGUUUCGGCGGUUGGGGAUGGACUCGCGGCUUAUCAGCUUGUUGGUGGGGUAGUGGCUUACCGAGGCUUUGACGGGUAGCCGGCCUGUGAGGGUGACCGGCGACAUUGAGACUGAGAUACGGCCCAGACUCCUACGGGAGGCAGCAGUGGGGAAUAUUGCUCAAGGGGUGGAAGCCUGAUGCAGCAACGCCGUGUGCGGGAUGACGGCCUUCGGGUUGUAAACCGCUUUCGCUCAUGACGAAGCUUUGUGUGACGGUAGUGGGUAAAGAAGCACCGGCUAACUACGUG
rnacentral:rRNA from 1 species